rfam:Zootermopsis nevadensis contig774, whole genome shotgun sequence.
UUCUUUGGUGAUGUAGCUGUAUGAUUGCUGUACAAGGUCAUAAAGCUAGAUUACCAAAGCA